CUGCAUCUGAUCCCUUCUGCAUCUCAGCACUGAAUGCAUGUUGCAUGCCCCGCUUUUAAUGCCAGGCUUAAGUUUAUCUUUGGCGCUUCUGCCGUCCCGGCUUUAGAUUUAGUCGAUCGCCAGUCGGUCACCCGCGUCGUGUCUCCUAGCGGAAGGACAGUGUACCAGGACAAGCAGAGAAAAACCUUCCUCCUGGACAGUUGGACAUCUAAGAGUGAGAGCGAAUGGUCCCUCGCCUCCAGAUGGGAUGGAUCCCAAAUCUGGAUCCCAAAUUUGAGGGAGGAGGCUGUUGCCAUCAAGGUGGUUGGCAGCUCAGGGAAGCUCUACACUUGCUAUGCCUCCUGCCACUUCUGCACAUGCCCGGCUUUUACCUUCUCCGUCCUCCGGAAAGGCGACAGCUUAGUGUGCAAACAUAUUCUGGCCGUCUACCUCAGCCGGGCCCUCGGAGCCUGCCAGGAGCUGACUGUACCAGAUGAGCAGCUGACCAAACUUUUGCUGCCCCAGGAAGAUGGGAGGGAGGAGGCGGAGGAUAACACCCGGCCGUAAUUUCGUCAGAGAGGGAGAGAAAACACGGAAGGACUUGCUGUCGUCUUUACGAAAUCUCCCGAAAGGAAGCGCAGAAAAACACUGUGGUUUUUAAAACAGUGAGCGGUAAAUUGGAAAGCGAGGACAGAAGUCUCCGACGGAAAGCGACCGCCAAAGUCUCCGCCGCAAGGACAAUGCAGAAAACCCAACACCUAACGCCAACCCUGACAGGUGGGACCCGGCCCGGCCCCAAUGUGGCUGCUUUUCCACGAUGCAAGAGGUGGGUGAACCGAGGCUAAGAGAAAGUGGAAAAGACCCCCAUGGGUUCAGAUCCAAUCCGUCUGCAGUUUCCCCCCCACAAAUGCGUGCCUCCAUCUGGUCCAACCCUAUCUGAUCCCAAGUUUUGCCAUCUUCGGGAACCAUGCCAGCCAAAGGAGCUCCCCAAACAGCUGCUCCAAAGCUCCAUGACACACAAUCAGCUCAGAGAAAAAGGGGAUUUGAAAUUGCAGAAUCCAAAGGCCAUCCCUUUUGUCUUUGGACUGAAGCAGAGGGGAAAGCAAACAUCUCCUCCCUCGCCUUGUGAAAUGCAGGAAACUACAACUUGUAGAGAGAUUUCAAACUCUGGGUUAGUCCCAAAUGAUUUCAAACUAGCCCCACCGUUCGGACUGAGCUCUUCAGAUACCCGCCUUUGGCUUAAACCCAAAACCCACAGACUAGAUCCACUGGCCAUCUAUAUUUCCAUUGGUCGCUGUGUGCCUUCAUGUCUAAGGGUUUUCUUGGCAAGGUUUGUUCAGAGGCGGUUUGCCGUUGCCUUCCUCUGGGGCUGAGAGAGUGUGUCCCCAGAGUCAUUAUUACAUAAAUCCAAUUAAUGCAACAGGUCUACCGUUUGUUCCCUUCCAUCAAUGCCACCAGAUCUGGUCCUCCAGAUGUUUCGGAUAGCAACCCAAGGGGUGCCAACCAACACAUCUGGAAGGGGCCACAUUUGGAGAGUAGGCAGAAAAGACGGUUUAGAUCUGGAAGGUGGAAAAGUUGGUUUGGAUCCAAACCAACCCUCAGAAAGGAAUAGUCCUGGCAGAGCAAGCCAGCUUUAGGUCGCUUGAGCCAGUGAGCCAAGCUGCGUUGUAGCCGUUCCCCUCCUUUGCCAGCCCCGCUCCCCACCCCACGCGUCCCACCGCGGUCGACCGUACCUAAGCGGGAUCUUGAUGGCCACGUACCGGUCGACGGCCACCGCCAGGAGGCUGAAGAUGGAUCCCUGGGUGAGGACCAGGACGAAGCAGGCCAGGAAGAGGCAGCAGUGGAAGUCGGUCUUCAGGCCGAUGCUGAUGACGAUGGCGAAGGGGAUGGCCAGCAGGCCCACAGCGAUGUCGGCCACGGCCAGCGAGACCAAGAAGUAGUUGGUGGCGUUCUUCAAGGUGCUGUUGAUGGCCACCGCCCAGCACACCAAGACGUUGCCCACGAUGGAGAGCACUGCGAUCACCAGCUCCACGGCGAUGUACACAGAGUCCAUGCUGUGCGGCGCCGUCAUGUCGACGGGGAGAGCGUCCGCCUCCAACGACAUCCGAGAAGGACCCGCGGCGAAGGGGCUGAGGAGCCACCCAUGAGGCAGGGUCACCUCGGGGCAGUCGCUUACGACAGCCUUGCUCCGCCAAAGGAGACCCCGCGCCAUCGCAACGCCAACUGAGGCGCGUCUCCGGCCAUCGCCGAAUUCGUCCUUCUUCGAUAUUUUGUUUAAAAAUUCAAAACUUUAGAUUGAAAAUUUCAACAAAAUUGCAGUUUCAGGCUGAAAAUUGCAGGUUGAAAAUUUCGAAAAGUUGCAAUUUCAGACUGAAAAUUUCAAAAAGUUGAAAAUUUCGCAAAAAUUGAAAAUUCAAAGUUAGGUUUUGUUCAUUUAAAAAAAACCUUUUGAAACUGCUUCUUUUAAUGCCUCCUUUUCGGCGCCGCUCUCCCAGUCGGCCCAGUUUGAGACCCCAUUUUGAGACUGGGUUGCAAUGGUUUUUCGGGGAGCCUAGAUGCAGCUGGGAAACCGUCCCAAAAUAUCAGUUUCUUUUACCCAGAAAGGCAAAAAGGAUCCAGAACUUGGCUGCGAGUUCGAGUCUCUCCCCUAUAUAUAUAUAUAUAUAUCCAAAAACUUGCAAUUAAUUAAUUAAUUAAAUUAAUUAAAUUAAGGCUGCUAUAAAAGCCCAAAAGAUAAAAAUAAACUUCCCUUCUCUCUCUCUUUUCCUCUCUGGAACGGUCUCCUCUUCUGCAUUAAUUGCAUUAACUUCUGC